AGCAGUCGCGGUAAUUCCAGCUCCAAUAGCGUAUAUUAAAGUUGUUGCAGUUAAAAAGCUCGUAGUUGAAUUUCGGGAUUAGUACGUUGGUCGUGCCUUAGGUACGUACUGGUGUUACUGGUUCCUACCUUCUGACGAACCAUCAUGUCAUUAAUUUGGUGUGGCGGGGAAUCAGGACUGUUACUUUGAAAAAAUUAGAGUGUUUAAAGCAGGCUCGCGCUUGAAUACAUUAGCAUGGAAUAAUGAAAUAGGACGUUGACCCUAUUUUGUUGGUUUCUAGGAUUGACGUAAUGAUUAAUAGGGAUAGUUGGGGGCAUUAGUAUUCAAUUGUCAGAGGUGAAAUUCUUGGAUUUAUUGAAGACUAACUACUGCGAAAGCAUUUGCCAAGGAUGUUUUCAUUAAUCAAGAACGAAAGUUAGGGGAUCGAAGACGAUCAGAUACCGUCGUAGUCUUAACCAUAAACUAUGCCGACUAGGGAUCGGAUGAUGUUAAUUUUUUAAUGACUCA
rnacentral:rRNA from 1 species